rnacentral:rRNA from 1 species
AAGGAAUAUUGGUCAAUGGACGAAAGUCUGAACCAGCCAUGCCGCGUGGAGGAUGAAGGUCCUCUGGAUUGUAAACUUCUUUUAUAUGGGACGAAAAAGGGCUUUUCUAAGUCAACUGACGGUACCAUAUGAAUAAGCAACGGCUAACUCCGUGCCAGCAGCCGCGGUAAUACGGAGGGUGCAAGCGUUAUCCGGAUUCACUGGGUUUAAAGGGUGCGUAGGUGGGCUGGUAAGUCAGUGGUGAAAUCCCCGAGCUUAACUUGGGAACUGCCAUUGAUACUAUCAGUCUUGAAUACCGUGGAGGUCAGCGGAAUAUGUCAUGUAGCGGUGAAAUGCUUAGAUAUGACAUAGAACACCAAUUGCGAAGGCAGCUGGCUACACGAAUAUUGACACUGAGGCACGAAAGCGUGGGGAUCAA